AUACAUACAUACCCAUAUAUAUACAUACAUACCCAUAUAUAUACAUACAUACCCAUAUACACAUAUACAUACACUUACAUACAUAUAUAUACACACACGCACACACACACGCACACCUACAUAUAUAUACAUAUACAUACACCUACAUAUACAUGCAUACACAUACACAUACACAAGUAACUAAACAAAAGCAUAACAAGCUAUAUAUUAAUUCGUCAUAUUUAUACAUGCAUACAUACUACGAAUGUGCAUGCAUAUAUACAUAAACAAAUACAGUAUACAAAAUGAGAAACAAGAGACCAAAAUAGUCACAUAGCGAUGUUGAAACAAUCAAAGAGACACCAGGUAGGAGUAGCUUAGAGGGGACAGAAGAAACUGCAAGCAGAAAAUAACAAAAACAAGGAAGAAUCAGAGUAUAAAUUGUGGUUUAAGUUGAUGUUCUUAGUAUGAAUCAGCUUAGUGCGGUGGAGUAAUUAUGGAAGUAGUUGGAUCAUGAGUAGAGAAGGUGGUAUUUCAGCUGCUUUCUAAAAGCAGCCUGUGAAGAUAUGGAUCGGAUGUGGAUUGGUAGCUCAUUCCAGAGUGAGGGCCCUCUAAAGGAGAUAUUAUAUUGAUGGCGUGAUGUUCGACAGGAAGGUGGGUGGAGAUUGUCCCUCUGUCUUGUUGGAUAAGAAUGAAGAUCAGAUACAAAUGUGAAGAAAUUAUAAAAGGUGGCUGGAAGACAGUUGUUACUAUAUAUAUAUUUAUGGAUGAGUAGACAGGUUUGAUGAAUGUUUACUUUAUCAAUUGGCAAUAGUGAAUAAUUUCUAAACAGCGGUGCCGUUGGUUCAUAUCUAUUCGAGAAAGAGAUCAUUCUUAGGAACUUCUUUUGUAUGAUGAGUAAUUUGUUGAGGUAUGUUGGAUAUGUGGCUGCCCAGACUGUAUUGCAGUAAUUAAGAAAAGGAAACAGGAAGCUAUAAUACAGAGUGAGAUGAGCAGAAGGAUGGACCAAGGGACAAACUUUUCGUAAAAUACCUAGCAUUUUCAUAGAUCUUUUGCAAACCAAAUCAAUGUGUUCAGACCAGUUUAAUUGUUUGUCUACUAUAACUCCUAAGAAUUUGGUGCUAGCAACUUGAUGGAUUUCGUUACUGUUUAUGUUUAUAUUUUCGUCUGUUCUUUGGGGUAAGAUUUAUUUAUAUUGCAGAAGAUCAUGAAGUUACAUUUUUUUAUAUUGAGUGACAACUUAUUUAUUUUGAACCAUUUUGUAACAGUGUGCAGUUCAGUAUUUACACUUGCAAUGAGGAAAUUAAAAUCACCGUGGGUGGCAAUAAGAUUAGUAUCGUCCGCAAAUAACAAAGGGAGAAAAUUUGAACAAGACAUGGAGAAAUCAUUUAUGUACACCAAAAAUAAUAGAGGACCCAAUAUUGUGUCUUGUGUCUUCUAUUCAUCUGGUACGUCUGAGCCCCAGACACUGUCGUAGGGACGGAAGGUGGGGGCAACAGCUGCACGUGUCUUUCGCUGAUGACGUUCCUGAAAAUGUGUCAGACUGAGGAACACAGUGUGAUCUGACACAUAUACGGGGGCACAUGUGCCAUCCCAUUGUCCUGGAAGGACUGCGUAGCCUCGGCGACCACAGAGCCACCAUCCCCCUUCGAUGAUGGAGUGGGGAUUUUCGCCUCCUGAAGCACAGGGGAUGUGAGAUGGUUUCACUCACUUUGAGAGUCACUGGUGCAGGUGUGACGACAGAACUUUUUGACACUAUUGUGAAUGGCCUUGAGAUGUUGUAACAGGGAUGGGCGGUUAGUUGUGCCUCAUUAAUUUCCGACCGUCUGAGUCCUUUGAGGGGAUUAAACCCAAAAGCCCUUAGUAUUGCGAUCUCAUAAGGGGUUAAAACCUUGCCACAGGGCAUAAUCCUCAUAUAGAGUUUUAUAAAAUCUAGACAUUCGGGCCAUGGUCUUCCCGUUUCUGCCAUGCAUUUGGUUAAUGACCGUAUUGACAAAAUGUGGUCCGUUGUCACUAUAAAUGGUCUCUGGGAUCCCAUAACUGGGAAUGAUGGUCUUGCAGAUAGCCUUUGCUACUGUUAUAGCAUCUGCCUUCUUUGCUGGGAUUAUUUCUGUCCACCUUGAAAAGGCAUCGAUUAGGACUAAACAGUAUUUGUACAGUCCACACCUGUUUAGUUCUAUGAAGUCCAUACGCGACAUUUGGAACUGAUAUGUCGGUUCUGGGAAUUUUCCUCUUUUUGGUUUUACAUUCCCUUGUGGAUUAUUUUUUAUACAGACUUCACCCGCUCUACAAAAAGCUUUGAGUACAAAUUGAAACCAUACGUUGUAAAGUGUUGUGAUAUUAGCUCCUGCAUCCCCCCUGUCGACACAUGAGUACUUCCGUGUGUCGAAAUUGCAGCUGCUCUAAAAAGGGAUUUAGGGAGAGCAAGCUUAUUAUUUACAACGUAUGUCUUUGUCUGUCAGAUGUGCACCUUUAGCAAUCCACAUUUUCUGUUCUUGUUUAGGGGCUAAAUGUUGAAUAUCAUGCAAGAUCUGUGUAUUUAUUAGUUCUUCCUUUUCUGACGGCAAUCUCAGAAAUAGGUCUGAGGUUCCGUAUUUGCCUAUAGCAGCUUCCUUUGCUAUUUUAUCUGCAAAGGCAUUGCCUAGUGAUACAAAAUCUUUCCUCCGUGUGUGUGCCUCACAUUUGCAAAUUGCAAGCUUUGUGGGCAACAUUACUGCCUGGAGGAGCUGGAUUAGAAAUUGUGCAUGUUAUUUGCUUUCCUGUUGAAGUUAUCGUUCCACACCUUUCCCAUUAUUUGUAAAGUAAAACACUGUUGAAAAUGCAUACUAGCUGUCUGUGUAUACAAUUAGGUCUUGUCCAUCUUCUAGAGUACACGCUCUGGUCUGGUUUGUGACAAUAACAGAGCUGUACAAGACAAAUGUCUGGCUGGAGACAGCAUAUUCAUUUUACUUUGAAGUAACAACACAUCAACAGCAUGUGGUACAAACAGGUCUGUGGGAUGGAACAAGUUAACAUCUGCUGACGAUUCUACUGCCAUUGCAGCACCACAUAGUAUAACUUGAACACAUUUUCCACUUUGUUUUCAACAGGUGUUAACCCUUCUGAAGUGGGGGUGAUUUUCAUAUAGUUUCUUUUAGGUUCCCGUGUGGAUCAUGUUUCACACAAAUAGGACGUUUUUUUUUUUUUUUAAUUUCACUUAAGAAUCUAAACCGAAGGUAACUAAUAACUCAUCCCCCCCUGUUGUCACAUAAGUGACACAAUUGGGUUUGCCUUAAAAAAAAUCAUUUUGGCAAAACAGUUUCGUUGCUGACGUGGUCAAUAACACCUUAUCCAUUAUCGCACCCUUUGUUGUCCGAACUAAUGUCAUUUUCAAUUUGUCAAUGCUUCUACUUUUGGUGUCCACGCGAAUGUAUCUUCGACUGCUAACGGCUGUCCAUGAGCCACUCCUGUCAGUGGCUUAGCAAUUUCAGCAUAAUGUGGAGCCCAAGCUCUGCAGCAAUCACAGAAAAAAACCCAUAAGUUGUUCUUUGUGACAGGUCGUGGUGUCUCUAAUAUAGCCUGUUUCCUGCCUCAUUGCACUGUUCUCCCUUUCGCUGAGAGUAAACCAACAUAGUUUACUUCUGUUUUUACUCAUCGUAACUUCUGUUACUUGACUUCAUUUCCUCUCAGGCCUAAAUGCUGCAUGAGGAGAAAGGAAUCUCAUCCCCAGGCUUUCCUUGUUUCAAAAGCAAUUAUCAUCAAUGUAGACCAAAACUUGACUUUUAGAUGAAAGCGUAAAACCAGCCAUUCAAUUUAUGAUAAUCAGUCAACCACUGUGAAAUAAACCCUAUUUACCUUUCUUAGCAUUAAAUUUGCUCAAGAUCACUCUUUCAUCAAAGUUGUUCUGCUAAUUUUCCCAUAGCAGUCUCCACCAACGUCAACCUGUAUCUUCAUUCAUUCCUGCUCGCUCGCGCGCUCUCUCUCGCUCGCGCGCUCUCUCUCGCUCGCGCGCUCUCUCUCGCUCGCGCGCGCUCUCUCUCGCUCGCGCGCGCUCUCUCUCGCUCGCGCGCGCUCUCUCUCGCUCGCGCGCGCUCUCUCUCGCUCGCGCGCGCUCUCUCUCGCUCGCGCGCGCUCUCGCACGCUCUCGCGCGCUCUCUCUCGCGCUCGCGCGCUCUCUCUCGCGCUCUCUCUCGCACGCACGCACGCACGCACACAGCCUCCAUAUAUACUGGUCUCACUCUCCUCAAGCUCUCUUGCAAGCUGUUCACACAGUCGUACAUUAUUUUCAAUUCACAUUACUCAUUUUAAUUUGUCCCGUCUCAAGGUUAUUGAUAAAACAACCCACUCAUUCCAAUCUUGACAUAUUCCAAAAUUUCACGCGAGAGAUGCUUGCAUUCAUUUGAUUCCAUCAGCUUUUCAUUUCCACAAAAUUUGCAAAUUUAUGGCAAUUUUUCUUCCAUUCAUUCCUAAUGGCACAUUCCACGUUUCAGAUUUACAUUGUCCCAGUUUGAAAUUCACAUCAUUCAGCCUAUUCAAGUCACACCGGGGAAAGUUUUCAACAUUCCCAAAAUUGCAAAAUUAAAAAAUUAUGUUUUCAGUUAAUUUAUUAAUCCUUUGUAUGGCAUGCUCAAACUUGGCCAAUAAAAGAUUGAUUGAUUAAAUUUUCUGCAAAAUUUCACAAAAUUAAUUUUUUUCACCUUUAAUUUCUACAUUUUUCCAACUGAUUCAAUUCUACUCCAACAUCAUUCUGUUGCAUCCUCUAAGUAUUUAUUAAUUUUUCACGCCUUCACAUGCAAUUUCUCCAGAAAUAGCAUCUUCUAGUCUCAAAAUCAUUUUGCUUUUUUGUGUCAUGGUACAAAUCAAAUAGACCGCAGUCUAGUAAAUUUCCUUGCACACUAUUUUAGCCAAUUUCAUAAUUUUAACACAUAGACACACAGAAACAUACAAAGAACACAAGGACAAGACAAGGGCCCACAAUAAAGACAAAAUACAUAAACAACAUCAACAAACAGCGCUGCGCAAACGUCUACCUUUAUUUGAUGUGUUGGUUUUACUAUUUUUAUUUUUUCAUAUUAGUGGCCUUAUCUUUCAAUAAGGUUUGACACCUGUAUCAUUCGCAUAGCAUACAUCAGCAUCGUUUAUACUUUGGGGAAAUUUAACAGCUCUUGUCAUGCUUCUUGUUUGUACAGGAGUUCUAAUUGACUGACCAUGACAUAUUCUGCUAUUAUAUGGGGGAGUUUCAGGUAUUUUAGAUGCAUGUUUUGCAUAGGAGCAGAAAGAGCUUUUUGCCUCAGGCUCCUCUGUUUAACAGUGCGCUCGCGCACUGUGGCUUCAUUGUCUGACAAACAUACUUGCGGCCUCAUCGUUCUUAAUGACACUUGCCUCAAGUUUGGUAACUUAUUUAACAUGUAUACUUCUCAUCUCCUUAUAUAUUGUCAAUAACACUUUGACGGCCCCCUGAUUUAAAUGAAUUUAGUCCAACUGUCAAAUCUUAGGGAUUUCUAAAGCUGGAAUGUUUCUUUAGUGGGAUAACGACUUUCUGUGGUAAUUCCUGACAGAAAUUCGUUAUUUCUUCCCACUAUAUUACAUGCAGCACAUACGUGCUACCAUUCACACACACAUUUACACUGCGGAUUUUUUUUUAACACAACGAGGUGUAUUUACAUCUAUAAGUUCCAUCUGUAGACCGAAUUCCUAUCACUUGGAAUUCACAACAAGGACUCCGCCGCCCUUACCCGGGUACCCUUUUUUCCGGGGACUAAAAUACCCCAACCACGCAGCCAACAAAGAGGUCUCACCGAAUCUCUGAAAGAUUUCUCUUAAAGAUUCCGUUAAUCGUCGCCGCCGAGAGGUGCUGAACUGGACUUCGCGGGCCUGGUGGAUAAACAUCGCUCCCCAGGGCUUUCCUUCAGGGUCCUGUGAUGACCUCUGCCGUGCACGGAUUCGGCGUCUUCAACACUCCUCGGGCGGGCACUGGUUCGGGACACUUUGGCAGUGCGAAGACUCUCGGACGGCUGUGGCAAGGGUUCUACUGGGGUCACCAUUGUCGAGACGUGGAGGACUUCUGCCAGCGUUGUGAUGAGUGUGCAGGCUACAAGGGGCCACAGGCCCAGUCACAUUCACCGCUUCAGCAACAGAGGGUUGGGGCGCCCAUGGAAAGGGUUGCUGUGGACAUCAUGGGUCCUUUUCCCGUGACGGACAGAGGGAACCGUUAUGUGCUGUGUGCGAUGGAUUACUUCAAGUGGCCAGAGGUAUACGCACGUCCAGAUCAGGAGGCAGAGACAAUGGCUGACAUGCUGUCGGUUUGGAACUGCUGACAUUCUCCACAGUGACCAAGGCCGAAAUUUCGAGUCCAAGGUUUUUGCUGCGCUUUGUGAGAUUCUGGACAUGCAGGAGACACGCAGCACCCCUUUGCAUCCGCAGAGUGAUGGCCUUGUGGAACGGUUUAACCGCACCAUGCAGCAGCAGCUCCCCAUCCUCAUUUCCAAUCACCAACAUGACUGGGACCGACACAUUCUGCUUGUGCUGAUAGCUUAUCGUUCGACCGAUCAAAGUUCCACGAAUUGCUCUGCUGAUGCUGGGCCGGGAAAUCAGGACGCCGGCGGAGUUGCCGUUCGGGAGGCCACCUGGUGAUUCUGAGGACCAACCGGGGCUGGAGUAUGCCCGGAGACUGCAGGACCGUUUGGACGCGUCGCAUGCAUCCGCCCAGGACCAGCUGGAGAAAGCCAGUGUGCGCCAGAAGCGGAACUACAACGUGCGGAGCAAGGGGCGGAACUUCCAGAUUGAUGAGCUAGUUUGGGUGUACACACCCAAAUGGAAGAAGUUGGACAGCCAUUGGGAUGGCCCGUGCAGGGUGCUUCAGCGGGUGGAGGAUGUGGUCUACCGAGUGGCGGUUCCCCCUAGGGGCAGAUGCACUGAUUUCCCUGCACCGAGACAGGUUGGCUCCGUACCGGGGCAUUGGGCAUUUGAGGCGGGGUCGGCUUCACCCGCCACUUUGGGACGUGCGGUGGAUUCAUGUUCCCCAGAUUCCGCCAGUGUUGUCCCUGCUCAGCUGGCACGACGGCUGGAUGACUUUUUGUGUUGACCCCUUGGGUCGAGGGUUUUUAUAAAGGGGAGGGCAGUGUAAUGUCCUGUAUUAUUUGUUUGUUGUAUCUGGGCGUCUGAGUGCGGGGCCAGGAGUGAGAAGUGACGUCAUGCGGGUGGGUUGUGCGGGCAUGUUAGCUGGGCAAUCAGUUGGUGUGUGAAGGGCAUGGCCGUGAGUUGUGGCCACCAGCAACUUCUGUUUGCAUGUGUUUUUCUGAUGCUUGUUUUGUUAUCAUAAAAGCUGCGAUCAAACCGUCUGAACAUCCUCUUUUAUUAUUGUAACAAUAUUUCUAUAACAAGGUUACAACACUGUAAAUAUGUGUAUGCACUGCAAUUGUGUGGGCACUCCCUGCCUUCUGCUGGCGUGUGGGCACCUUUUGUGCCAUAAUUCUCCAAAUUUGAAGUUUUAUUCAGAAUUUUAAUUGUUUUUUUAAUUUGGAAAAAAAAUCUGCGAAGUAGUUAAACUGCAAUAAAUGGAUUACUGUAUUACAAAAUAGGAUAAAACACAAGAGGUGGGAAAUCACUAAUUUUGGUGCUUUACAACAUGUCACAAAAGCUUGGCAAUUAGCAUGGUCUCCAUCGUUCUCCUCCCUUCAUGAUAAUGUCAAAAGCGUAGCUUAUUCACAGCCUAUGAUUAGUGUCUUAUUCUGUGUUGACACCUGUGUUACAGUAUUGUCCAUUUGUAACAUUUGGCAACUCUGUGUAUAGUACAAUAUGUCCUAUAUGACAGAAAAUUAGCGCCUCAUGUAUGAAAACUGUACAUCUUGUUGCUGUUCAUCAUCAGAGCAGAAGGUGCUUUGAAUGUGUGCCUCUUUGGUGUCCCAGGUUUCUGGCAGCAUCGCUGAAUUCCUGUCAUGUUCUUCCAAAUCAAUUGUAUCCACAUUUGAUUGGUCAGAAAUGGUUUUAUCCCAUUCCUCCACAUACCUACCCAAAAUUAGAGAGCUGAGAUUAACAUCUUGGUUGUCUCUUUUUUCAUCCUCCCAGUUUUCGACCUCAAUUGGCUGUAUCCUCUCAGCCAUGUAACUAGCUUGGUCUAAAAAUGGACUGUGGUUUGAGUUCACAAGAGUAUCAGAAAGUGAGCCUGUUGUUGUGGAUGUAUGUUUUGAUGCAGCAUUUAAAAGUCUGUCAUUCCAAAUGCAUGUUUGAGGCAGGGGACUAAAAACAUCGAAAGAUAAAAAAAUGGAGUUUGAAGUGUUGUUUAACCGUGAUCCAGGCUGAUAUGAGAAUAGAAGGGAAGGAGAUGAUGAUGACAAAGAUGGUAGGUUAGAAUUUAAACGAAUUUUGUAACCACUUUCAUUUCUUGAAGUCCUUUCUCCAUCUUGAAGAUCUGACAAUUGACGGUCCUUCUCUUCACAUGGAAAAUACAGUGUUGGUCUAAUUACGAGGGAAGACAAGGAUGUUUUGUGGGGCACAACAAUCAGGGCCUCCUUUGUGUGAUGGACGGAUGUCUAAAACAAAAAAGCAGAGAAGAGAAUAUCAUGAAAAAAGAUUGAAGCAAAGGUCCCACAUAUAAGCUAAAUAAAAGCCAUUGUGACAUUAACAAAUAACCAACCAUUGUUAACAAUAUUUCGGAAGUGAACAAUUGCCUAGAGCAGUGGUUCACAACCUUUUUUCAGUGAUGUACCCCCUUUGAAAUAUUUUUUCAGCCAAGUACCCCCUGACCAGCGCAGCACAUUUCUGGUUGAAAAGAAAGAGGUACAGGAUUGUCCCAUCAGUGUUUGAUUUAUUAAAGUUAAACAACUUGUAGCAAUGUACCUGACAGACACAUUUAUGUUUCAAAUAUUGCAUAUAGAAACAAAAACGAUAAACAGUAAACAGUGACCACCAAUAAGGCAUGAACCCUUUCAAAACUCAAAUACUAUAUGCAGAACACUAUUAAUUUAUAUUAAUCUUUCUUGUAAUAAUCUCUUGCAAGGAAAUAAAAAUAUACAUACCGUUUUUUUCCAUGUAUAAUGCGCCCCCAUGUAUAAUACGCACCCUAAAAAGGGCAUGUUGAUGCUGGAAAAAAGCCUGUACCCAUGUAUAUUACGCACCCAAAUUUGGACUCCUACUUAAGUCCGUAAACGUAAAAUUAUUUCAGAAAAAAUAUUAUUCUGCCGGUCAGUAUCACUGCGCAUGUGCUAGCAAACUCGAUAGCGAAGAAAUGUUUCGGAUUUGUGUAGGGUACAUUGUGACAGCAAACGAGCAGGCGUCUGAUACGAGAGCAUUGUGUUCGUAUGAAGCGUGUUUGAAGUGAACAUUAGGGAAGAAAGCGCAUCUGUAAUGGCAGCCUCCGUAUCAUAUCCAGAUUAAAAAAAAAAAAAAAAAAUGUUUUUUUUUUGUUUUUUGUACCCAUGUAUAACGCGAACCCCAGAUUUUAGGACAAUAAAUUAGUUAAAUUUUGCGCAUUAUACAUGGAAAAAAACGGUAACUAAAAAUGUGUUCACGAAUAUAAAUUAACUUAGCGUAAUUUUUGGCCUAUAAAUCACUCUUUGUUUGAGCUUCUGCCCUCUGGGAAGAGGUAUAGGAGCGUGCGCUCCCGCACCAACAGACUCAACAACAGCUUCAUACUCCAGGCUGUUAGGAUCCUGAACUCGCUUCCUCUUUCUGCGUAGCGUCCUGUACUUUUGCGCUACGCUUACUGUCUGCUGUAUGCACACUGGCUCCGUUUUGCUCCUCUUAUUUAUUGUGUAAUCUGUUUAUUUAUUAUUUAUUCAUCAUUCUUAUUAUUUAUUGUUUGUGCCUUCUUGUUUUUAUAUUGUGUCGUUUACUUGUAUGUCUAUUGUGUAAUAUGUCUCGUCACCGUAGGAUAGAGGAAACGUAAUUUCGGUUUCUUUGUGUGUCUUGACAUGUGAAGAGAUUGACAAUAAAGCUGACUUUGACUUUGA